rnacentral:rRNA from 1 species
AGAAUCAACGCUGGCGGCGUGCCUAACACAUGCAAGUCGAACGAGAAAGGGGAGCAAUCCCUGAGUAAAGUGGCGCACGGGUGAGUAACACGUGACUAACCUACCCUGGAGUGGGGGAUAACUGAGGGAAACCUUAGCUAAUACCGCAUAAUACCUAUGGGUCAAAGGAGCAAUUCGCUUUGGGAGGGGGUCGCGGCCGAUUAGUUAGUUGGCGGGGUAAUGGCCCACCAAGACAGUGAUCGGUAU